AAGAGCAAAUACUGGUUUGUUCAGAGUCAGAAUAAUGUGUCAAGGUAAGGUGACAUGUCUCUCAGAGAACUAGUGUAAGAGAUAAAUUAGUCCUGGUAAAAAUAAUGAAAAUUGUCUGGUCAGACAAAUAUAACUAGUAUUAAAAGUCCAUGGAUACAGAAUUUACUAGUAUAUUUAGUCCGAUGUCAGUAAUUUAUGUCCCCAGACUAAUUUUCCUAGUCCAUGACAUCACUAUUCCGAGGUAAAAAUGUCCAGUUUUUCUAAUACUGUAUGCAUCAUGUCAAGUAUAUUUGGUGUAUGAAAAUUUUUAAGGAUGUAUGUUUGUCUGGCAUGUUUUAUUCAACCUUGACCUCAUUUUUAUGGUUCAUUGCUCAAUGUUAUUUUUUUUGUUUGUUUUUUGGUCACUUUUUCUAUUUCCUUAUUUUCAAAUUAGCAAUAGGUCAACUAUAUUUGGUGUAUGGAAUGAUUGUAAGGUGCAUAUGUCUGACUGAGAAGUUUCAUCUUACCUUGACUUUAUUUUCAUAGUACAUUGGACAAUGUUUAGUUUUUGUGGUUUGAUCUAUUUUUCGGAUACUGUUAGCAAUAAGGCCCCUAUAUUUGGUGAAUGGAAUGAUUGUAAGAUGCACAUGUCUGUCUGGCAUGUUUUAUAUGACCUUGACCUCAUUUUCAUGGUUCAUUGGUCAAUGAAAAGUUUGCAUUGUUUUGUCAGUUUAUCAUAUGCUUUAAGCAACAGGUAAAUUAUAUUUGGUGGAUGUAACGAUUGUAAGGUAUGCAUGUCUGUCUGGCAGAUUCAUAUAACCAUGAUCGCAUUUUAUGGUUCUUUGGUCAAUGCUAAGUUUUCUUGGUUUUUUCAUUUUAUCAGAUAUUAUAAGCAUAUGUCUACUUGUUGGUGUAUGGAAUGACUGCAAGGUGUCAUAUAAAAAUAACAAGAUGUCUGUCUGCCAAGGUUAAUAUUGCUGUGACCUCAUUUUCAUAGAAUAUUGAUAAUAUUAAACAGCAAAAAUGAUGAGCAAGACAAGAUAUACAAAUGAUCCAAAAUUGUCAGUUGCCUACUAGUACUAAUUAUGUGAUAGUAGUUAUUGUCAUUAAAUGAUAAUGUUUACCCUUUUAUGUGUAGGGCAAGGACAUUAAAGAUAAAGGGAAACUAUAAACAAAAGAAAUUAUCAACAAAAAUAGAUUUACAGACGUCAACAAAGCCUAAAUGGUCAGACAUCUUGGUUUUCAUGAUCAUCAUUCAACAAGUCAAUACUGAACAGAAAACUUAAAGUUGAUAUUUUUCUACAUAGUGUGACUUUUUUAUUAAUUUGAAAUGGAAUGUGUGUUUUUCCUACAUAUGUAUAAGAAAGAGGAAAUUUCAUCAUAAUGACUAUAAACAAAAAGGCGUCAUAUCAUCAUGAUCAUAGAUGCACAAGAACUUAAUCAUGUAAAGGCAGCAACGUAAUUAUCAAUUGAAAGAAGGGAGGAAUGAAAAAAUAUAUUAGUAUUUUGUUGUCCAAAUGAACUUGCUUUGUCCACUCAUUUAAAUGGCUCCAUCCAAUAAAGAUGUACGGUGGAAGAUUUUUGAAGAACAGAUUGCAAAAGAGGUUUUGUCUUAGAAUUGUAGAAAUAUUCUAGUGGAUGAAAUAAUUUAUUUACUUGACUCUUAUAUAGUGGACUGAAUAAUUGUACAUAGCAAGCUGAAACAAGAAAAACUAAAACUUAACAGGAAAAGUGUUUAUUUUAUAAAUUUGCAAAUAUAAACGUAAUAUUAUGAACACCACAAAGGUAUAAGAUUCAAAUCGUUUGGAUAUUCAUGUAUUGCAAUGGAACUAUAACAAAGAAAACUUUAACUCAUGAAAAGAGUAAACUAUUAA